CAAGGAAGCAGAGGCUCAGAACUUAACUGGCCCUCUGUCACCCACCAAGGUAGUCUCCUCCCAACAGGUGCAUCCCAGAGGUCCCCCUGGGCUUCUUUCCACCAGAAGGAAAGCUGAACCAUGCUGGGUCCCCUUGCUGUCCUGUGUGCCCUCCUGUUUCCCGGUGGUGGAGCAGGGCUCAACCUGGAGCAGAAUCCUGUGGCUGUGGAGCGCUUGGACACUUUGGCCAUCCUAAAAUGUCAAGUGGAUACCUGGGUCUGGUAUAUCAACUGGUACUUCCAUCAGGAGGGUACAGCCCCCAAGUGGCUCCUCUACCUAGACAUGUCCACCGGGAAAGUGCAGAGGGAUGCAUUUGUGAAUGCAGACAAAGUCAGUGCCCAAAAGGACAAGGACAGUUACAGCUGCGCCUUGUUGGUACAGAGGCUGAGGAAGAGCGACGAGGGCGUGUACUACUGUGCUGCCUGGGAACCGCACAGCUACUCCUGCUGCCCUGGCUGGGUCAAGAUAUUUGCAGAAGGUACUAAGCUUAUAGUAACUCCUCCUGAUAAAAGUCCUGAAGACAUUUCCCCCAAGCCCACAAUUUUUCUUCCUUCAAUUGCUGAAAUAAAAGUCCAUAAGGCUGGAACAUAUCUUUGUCAUCUUGAGGAAAAUAUUCCUGAUGUUUUUAAGAUAGAUUGGAAAGAAAAGAACGUCAAAACAAUUCUGCAAUCCCAGCAGGGAAACACCGUGAAGACUGAGGACACAUACAUGAAAUUCAGCUGGGUGAUCGUGACUGAGGAAUCAUUGGAUAAAGAACACCAAUGCAUCGUCAAAGAUGAGAGGAAUAAAGAAAGGGUUAAUCAAGAGAUUGAUUUUCCUUCAAUAAACAAAGGUAUGAUGGAAUCCAAUGUGGACCCCACGGGGCAUUCAGAGGCAAAGCAAAACACAGAGGUGGUAACUUUGAACCCUUCCAGUUCAAGAUCUUUCAGGCCUGUCCCCAGCACUGUGGAACUCACUGCUAUUAACUCUACAGAAGCUUUCCUGGAUGAUGAAAAUCACACCCUGAAGCUGCAGCUCAUGAACACCUCUGCCUACUACACCUACCUCCUCCUCCUCCUGAAGAGCCUGAUGUACUCCAUCAUCAUCACCAUCUGUUUACUUGGGAGACCAGUGCUUGAUGGCAAUGGGAAGAGUUCCUAACACAUGGUGCCACCAGGGUCCACUUUUUCCCAUUGUCUUUUGUCCCUCUAAGUGUCUGCUGAGGAUCUAGUCAGGCUUUGUUUCUAUUAUUGGGUUAUUUCCUUUCACGUGUGUCUUUCUUUGUAGGGUCACAAUGCAGAAUGGGUUUAUAAACCCCUGAGCAAACACAAACUUUCACUCUGCAGCAAGAACAAAUUCUGCUAUGACUCAGGGGUGGGGACAGGGGGCCAUCUCCAGGGACUUCAUCACUUCUCUCUCUUUAAUGCCCACCCACUCCUCAGCCACGCAGUACCCAUGCC